GACGGGGGGUCCUAGCGUUGUUCGGAAUCAUUGGGCGUAAAGCGUGUGCAGGUGGUUUGGAAAGUUAGAUGUGAAAUCCUUGGGCUUAACCCAAGAAGUGCAUUUAAAACUCCCAAACUUGAGUAAGGAAGAGGGUCGUGGAAUUCCAGGUGUAGUGGUGAAAUACGUAGAUAUCUGGAGGAACACCGGCGGCGAAGGCGGCGACCUGGUCCUAUACUGACACUCAUACACGAAAGCGUGGGGAUCAAACAGG
rnacentral:rRNA from 1 species